UGCAGUCGAACGGUGAUAUUUAUAUCAUAGUGGCGCACGGGUGCGUAACACGUAUGCAACCUACCUAUUAUUGGGGGAUAGCCUUUGGAAACGGAGAUUAAUACCGCAUAAUACGAUUAACUGGCAUCGGUUGAUUGUUAAAGCAUUUGCGAUAAUAGAUGGGCAUGCGUCCAAUUAGUUAGUUGGUGUGGUAAUGGCUCACCAAGACGAUGAUUGGUAGGGGAUCUGAGAGGAUAAUCCCCCACACUGGCACUGAGAUACGGGCCAGACUCCUACGGGAGGCAGCAGUAGGGAAUAUUGGGCAAUGGGCGGAAGCCUGACCCAGCCAUGCCGCGUGCAGGAAGACGGCGUUAUGCGUUGUAAACUGCUUUUUUAUAGGAAGAAGGAUCCCUUGCGAGGGAAGGUGACGGUACUAUAAGAAUAAGCACCGGCUAACUCCGUGCCAGCAGCCGCGGUAAUACGGAGGGUGCAAGCGUCGUCCGGAUUUAUUGGGUUUAAAGGGUGCGUAGGCGGUUUAUUAAGUCAGUGGUGAAAGACGGUCGCUCAACGAUUGCAGUGCCAUUGAUACUGGUAGACUUGAGUGAG
rnacentral:rRNA from 1 species